CACAAACUUAACAGCCUAUAAACAUUUGGUUUAAAAAAUCUAAUUAGCUCACUGGCAAUUUCGCCAUUAUGUUCGAUACUUAUAAAUAGCUGGUGGCACACAUCCCCCCCAAGUGUAAGCGCUACCGGUAGAGCUACCUAGUAGCUCGUUGAGGAUGUUUAUCCUUAAUGUUUCACUCCUAAUGGUCCUAGCCCGACGGUCUCCCCCCAGAAACGUCGG
rnacentral:misc_RNA from 1 species